AUUACAUCUAUUCCAAAUAGGAAAUUGAACACGUUCGAACAAGUACCUUAUAUUUCAUGAAAACGUUGAGGUCCUUUUUAGGAAUUUUGGGUGUAUACGUGCAGAAUCAUUCAUUUAGCAGGCAUUUGCUCUUUUUAAAAAUGACAACCUUGUACUUGGCUAUAGGUUUUCAUUUCGCGCCAGUCUUCAGUCGGUAGCUUCAGCAGAAUAUUUUUAGUUAGUCUGCAUGGUGAAAGUUUUGGAUUUUUUAAAAUUUCCGACAAAUAAAAUGUUCCCAUCGUACAUAUUUUCGUAUGCAUACCACAUAUUGUGCAAAGUGGUUGAAUCAGCGCUCCCUGAUAAUAUUAAAACCUUUCACUCCCCUGAAAUACAAUUGUAUUUUCCGGAACGCGUAAUUCUGUUUUAUAUUCUCUGAAAGUUUCCAAAUCUAACGGUUUAUGGAAGUGUACAGGUGCUCGGAGGCUAAGCCUUUCUAACUCUCAGUGUUCAUAGUUAACCUCUUUAAUUGUAUUGUCCCAUAAACUGGAUUUGUUCUUAUAGUCAGUUGUAAAAAGCUGCUUUAGUCCUGAAAUAUUUUUAGUGCCCUUGAACUUCUUCUGUAAAAGACACACAUCCCCUGUACGUGCCAGUGAGAUUUGCUAACCUAGUUGUUUUAAAAAGUAAAGAUUUUACUACCCAUAAUUAUGUGCGUUCGUUAGUGCACCAAAAGACACAGCAAAUCUGGCAGUGUUCAAAUUUUGGUGUUACCGAUUUCAGAGUUAGAGUGUUUAGGCUACAGUGCAGAAAACCAAAUAUAUAACACUAGUCAGUGUGAAACGUUGGGUGAGCGGAGUCGCAAAUGUUCGAGGUGAACAUUCAGCCCCGUGUUACAUCCGGGAUCUUUUCACGCCAUUCUAAGAAGUUUCUGGAACAAGUCCAUUUUCCAUCGCAGUUGGCGACCGAGGAAUACCAGUUGAUGAAGAGUAUUUUACUUCAAAGGUCCAGAGGCGACAUUGUACUUACAGAGCAUAUUGAAGCUGGAACACUUUGUGACCGCACAAGGUGACAAAUGCUCAACAUCCUUACAGCCCAUAUGACCAUUGCUGAGAGAAGAAUAUACCAUUGAUUAACAAAAGAAAAGUAUGCCUUGGGUAUCAUCACUUUGUUUCCAGUCCACUGAGAUCCACUGUCCAGGAAAGGAUAUCAGAGGCUUUUCUCUCUUGGCACCAUUGGCUUUGUCUGACCUGUCAUUGGAUAUCCCUGGAGUCGCACUGUUCUAACAUUUGGAAGUCCUGCAUUUACAACCGGAUUCUAUUCGGACCCUCUGCUGUGCUCAUUAAAGGGUCAUCAGGUCCCAGGCUCAGUAGGUGAGUUUCUUCAGUGGGUGCUGGGUGCCCAAGGAUAAGAGACAUGGAGAGCCUUAAUUAAUACAGCAAGGCUUCUCCAGUCUUUGUCUUUCCUGUCUGAUGGAGGCAUCUGACGUCUUUCCUCAUAGACAUUCUAGUUUCCAUCUUAUUUUACUCUUAUAAAAAUAAAAAUUUGAUGAGAAAGAAAAAGUACGAAGUCAUUUAAAUGCAAGCAAGUUAAAGCCACUUGGGCCUAGUUUUUCACCCUGUAAGUUAUG